AACGAACGCUGGCGGCAUGCCUAACACAUGCAAGUCGAACGAGACCUUCGGGUCUAGUGGCGCACGGGUGCGUAACGCGUGGGAACCUGCCCUUAGGUUCGGAAUAACUCCCCGAAAGGGGUGCUAAUACCGGAUAAUGUCUUCGGACCAAAGAUUUAUCGCCUUUGGAUGGGCCCGCGUUGGAUUAGCUUGUUGGUAGGGUAAAAGCCUACCAAGGCGACGAUCCAUAGCUGGUCUGAGAGGAUGAUCAGCCACACUGGGACUGAGACACGGCCCAGACUCCUACGGGAGGCAGCAGUGGGGAAUAUUGGACAAUGGGCGAAAGCCUGAUGCAGCAAUGCCGCGUGAGUGAUGAAGGCCUUAGGGUUGUAAAGCUCUUUUACCCGGGAUGAUAAUGACAGUACCGGGAGAAUAAGCUCCGGCUAACUCCGUG
rnacentral:rRNA from 1 species